GUGGGGAAUAUUGCACAAUGGGCGAAAGCCUGAUGCAGCAACGCCGCGUGAGGGACGACGGCCUUCGGGUUGUAAACCUCUUUUAGUAGGGAAGAAGCGAAAGUGACGGUACCUGCAGAAAAAGCACCGGCUAACUACGUGCCAGCAGCCGCGGUAAUACGUAGGGUGCAAGCGUUAUCCGGAAUUAUUGGGCGUAAAGAGCUCGUAGGCGGUCUGUCGCGUUUGAUGUGAAAACUGGAGGCUCAACCUACAGCCUGCAGUGGGUACGGGCAGACUAGAGUGCGGUAGGGGAGAUUGGAAUUCCUGGUGUAGCGGUGGAAUGCGCAGAUAUCAGGAGGAACACCGAUGGCGAAGGCAGAUCUCUGGGCCGUAACUGACGCUGAGGAGCGAAAGCGUGGGGAGCGAACAGGAUUAGAAACCCUGGUAGUCC
rnacentral:rRNA from 1 species